GGGUUGUGAGGUUAAGCGACUAAGCGUACACGGUGGAUGCCCUGGCAGUCAGAGGCGAUGAAGGACGUGCUAAUCUGCGAAAAGCGUCGGUAAGGUGAUAUGAACCGUUAUAACCGGCGAUGUCCGAAUGGGGAAACCCAGUGCAAUUCGUUGCACUAUCGUUAACUGAAUACAUAGGUUAACGAGGCGAACCGGGGGAACUGAAACAUCUAAGUACCCCGAGGAAAAGAAAUCAACCGAGAUUCCCCCAGUAGCGGCGAGCGAACGGGGAGCAGCCCAGAGUCUGAAUCAGCUUGUGUGUUAGUGGAACGGUCUGGAAAGUCCGACGGUACAGGGUGAUAGUCCCGUACACCAAAAUGCACAGGUUGUGAACUCGAAGAGUAGGGCGGGACACGUGGUAUCCUGUCUGAAUAUGGGGGGACCAUCCUCCAAGGCUAAAUACUCCUGACUGACCGAUAGUGAACCAGUACCGUGAGGGAAAGGCGAAAAGAACCCCGGCGAGGGGAGUGAAAAAGAACCUGAAACCGUGUACGUACAAGCAGUGGGAGCACCUUCGGGUGUGACUGCGUACCUUUUGUAUAAUGGGUCAGCGACUUAUAUUCUGUAGCAAGGUUAACCGUAUAGGGGAGCCGCAGGGAAACCGAGUCUUAACUGGGCGUUAAGUUGCAGGGUAUAGACCCGAAACCCGGUGAUCUAGCCAUGGGCAGGUUGAAGGUUGGGUAACACUAACUGGAGGACCGAACCGACUAAUGUUGAAAAAUUAGCGGAUGACUUGUGGCUGGGGGUGAAAGGCCAAUCAAACCGGGAGAUAGCUGGUUCUCCCCGAAAGCUAUUUAGGUAGCGCCUCGUGAAUUCAUCUUCGGGGGUAGAGCACUGUUUCGGCUAGGGGGUCAUCCCGACUUACCAACCCGAUGCAAACUACGAAUACCGAAGAAUGUUAUCACGGGAGACACACGGCGGGUGCUAACGUCCGUCGUGAAGAGGGAAACAACCCAGACCGCCAGCUAAGGUCCCAAAGUCAUGGUUAAGUGGGAAACGAUGUGGGAAGGCACAGACAGCCAGGAUGUUGGCUUAGAAGCAGCCAUCAUUUAAAGAAAGCGUAAUAGCUCACUGGUCGAGUCGGCCUGCGCGGAAGAUGUAACGGGGCUAAACCAUGCACCGAAGCUGCGGCAGCGACACUAUGUGUUGUUGGGUAGGGGAGCGUUCUGUAAGCCUGCGAAGGUGUGCUGUGAGGCAUGCUGGAGGUAUCAGAAGUGCGAAUGCUGACAUAAGUAACGAUAAAGCGGGUGAAAAGCCCGCUCGCCGGAAGACCAAGGGUUCCUGUCCAACGUUAAUCGGGGCAGGGUGAGUCGACCCCUAAGGCGAGGCCGAAAGGCGUAGUCGAUGGGAAACAGGUUAAUAUUCCUGUACUUGGUGUUACUGCGAAGGGGGGACGGAGAAGGCUAUGUUAGCCGGGCGACGGUUGUCCCGGUUUAAGCAUGUAGGCUGGUUAUCCAGGCAAAUCCGGAUAAUCAAGGCUGAGGUGUGAUGACGAGGCACUACGGUGCUGAAGUAACAAAUGCCCUGCUUCCAGGAAAAGCCUCUAAGCAUCAGGUAACAUCAAAUCGUACCCCAAACCGACACAGGUGGUCAGGUAGAGAAUACCAAGGCGCUUGAGAGAACUCGGGUGAAGGAACUAGGCAAAAUGGUGCCGUAACUUCGGGAGAAGGCACGCUGGUGUGUAGGUGAAGUCCCUGCGGAUGGAGCUGAGACCAGUCGAAGAUACCAGCUGGCUGCAACUGUUUAUUAAAAACACAGCACUGUGCAAACACGAAAGUGGACGUAUACGGUGUGACGCCUGCCCGGUGCCGGAAGGUUAAUUGAUGGGGUUAUCCGUAAGGAGAAGCUCUUGAUCGAAGCCCCGGUAAACGGCGGCCGUAACUAUAACGGUCCUAAGGUAGCGAAAUUCCUUGUCGGGUAAGUUCCGACCUGCACGAAUGGCGUAAUGAUGGCCAGGCUGUCUCCACCCGAGACUCAGUGAAAUUGAACUCGCUGUGAAGAUGCAGUGUACCCGCGGCAAGACGGAAAGACCCCGUGAACCUUUACUAUAGCUUGACACUGAACAUUGAGCCUUGAUGUGUAG
rnacentral:rRNA from 1 species